AGGUGAAUCAAAGGAGAGACACC
rnacentral:snRNA from 1 species